UCCACAUUAGCUCAGUUGAUAGAACGGUCAGUUGUUAAUCGAGUGGACGUAGGUUCGAAUCCUACUUGGAGAG
rnacentral:tRNA from 1 species